CACCUCUAGCAUUUCCAGUAUUAGAGGUACUGCCUGCCCAGUGACAUCUGUUUAAACGGCCGCGGUAUCCUAACUGUGCAAAGGUAGCAUAAUCACUUGUUCCCUAAAUAGGGACUUGUAUGAAUGGCCACACGAGGGUUUUACUGUCUCUUACUUCCAAUCAGUGAAAUUGACCUUCCCGUGAAGAGGCGGGAAUGACUAAAUAAGACGAGAAGACCCUAUGGAGCUUUAAUUAACUGAUUCACAAAAAACAACACACAAACCUAACCUUCAGGGACAACAAAACUUUUGAUUGAAUCAGCAAUUUUGGUUGGGGUGACCUCGGAGAACAAAACAACCUCCGAGUGAUUUAAAUCCAGACUAACCAGUCAAAAUAUAUAAUCACUUAUUGAUCCAAACCAUUGAUCAACGGAACAAGUUACCCUAGGGAUAACAGCGCAAUCCUAUUCCAGAGUCCAUAUCGACAAUUAGGGUUUACGACCUCGAUGUUGGAUCAAGACAUCCUAAUGGUGCAACCGCUAUUAAGGGUUCGUUUGUUCAACGAUUAAAGUCUU
rnacentral:rRNA from 1 species